AUUGAACGCUGGCGGCAUGCUUUACACAUGCAAGUCGAACGGUAACAGGCCGCAAGGUGCUGACGAGUGGCGAACGGGUGAGUAAUGCAUCGGAACGUGCCCAGUCGUGGGGGAUAACGCAGCGAAAGCUGUGCUAAUACCGCAUACGAUCUAUGGAUGAAAGCGGGGGACCGUAAGGCCUCGCGCGAUUGGAGCGGCCGAUGUCAGAUUAGGUAGUUGGUGGGGUAGAGGCCCACCAAGCCAACGAUCUGUAGCUGGUCUGAGAGGACGACCAGCAAAACGGGGAGCGAGGCACGGCCCAGACUCCUACGGGAGGCAGCAGUGGGGAAUUUUGGACAAUGGGCGCAAGGCUGAUACAGCAAUGCGGCGUGCAGGAAGAAGGCCUUAGGGUUGUAAACUGCUUUUGUACGGAACGAAACGGUCUGGGUUAAUACCCUGGGCUAAUGACGGUACCGUAAGAAUAAGCACCGGCGAACUACGUGCCAGCCGCCGCAGUAAGAC
rnacentral:rRNA from 1 species